rnacentral:rRNA from 1 species
UACGGAGGAUGCGAGCGUUAUCCGGAUUUAUUGGGUUUAAAGGGUGCGUAGGCGGCCGAGUAAGUCAGCGGUGAAAUUUUGCAGCUUAACUGUAACAGUGCCGUUGAUACUGCAUGGCUAGGAUUUGGUUUGCUGUGGGUGGAAUGUGUGGUGUAGCGGUGAAAUGCUUAGAGAUCACACAGAAUAUCGAUUGCGAAGGCAGCUCACAAAGCCAAGAUUGACGCUGAGGCACGAAAGUAGUGGGGAGUCAAA